CUUUUUGUCCGGCUUCUUUCACUUAGUAUAAUGUCAUCAGAGUUCAUCCAUGUUGAAGCCUCACAUCA